GAUGAACGCUGGCGGCGUGCCUAAUACAUGCAAGUCGAGCGAAUGGAUUAAGAGCUUGCUCUUAUGAAGUUAGCGGCGGACGGGUGAGUAACACGUGGGUAACCUGCCCAUAAGACUGGGAUAACUCAGGGAAACCGGGGCUAAUACCGGAUAACAUUUUUAACCGCAUGGUUCGAAAUUGAAAGUCGGCUUCGGCUGUCACUUAUGGCUGGACCCGCGUCGCAUUAGCUAGUUGGUGAGGUAACGGUCCACCAAGGCAACGAUGCGUAGCCGACCUGAGAGGGUGAUCGGCCACACUGGGACUGAGACACGGCCCAGACUCCUACGGGAGGCAGCAGUAGGGAAUCUUCCGCAAUGGACGAAAGUCUGACGGAGCAACGCCGCGUGAGUGAUGAAGGCUUUCGGGUCGUAAAACUCUGUUGUUAGGGAAGAACAAGUGCUAGUUGAAUAAGCUGGCACCUUGACGGUACCUAACCAGAAAGCCACGGCUAACUACGUGCCAGCCGCCGCAGUAA
rnacentral:rRNA from 1 species